AGAGUUUGAUCCUGGCUCAGAUUGAACGCUGGCGGCAUGCCUUACACAUGCAAGUCGAACGGCAGCACGGGAGCAAUCCUGGUGGCGAGUGGCGAACGGGUGAGUAAAGCAUCGGAACGUGCCCAGUCGUGGGGGAUAACGUAGCGAAAGCUACGCUAAUACCGCAUACGAUCUGUGGAUGAAAGCGGGGGACCGUAAGGCCUCGCGCGAUUGGAGCGGCCGAUGUCAGAUUAGGUAGUUGGUGGGGUAAAGGCUCACCAAGCCGACGAUCUGUAGCUGGUCUGAGAGGACGACCAGCCACACUGGGACUGAGACACGGCCCAGACUCCUACGGGAGGCAGCAGUGGGGAAUUUUGGACAAUGGGCGCAAGCCUGAUCCAGCAAUGCCGCGUGCAGGAUGAAGGCCUUCGGGUUGUAAACUGCUUUUGUACGGAGCGAAAAGGCUUCCACUAAUACUGGGGGCUCAUGACGGUACCGUAAGAAUAAGCACCGGCUAACUACGUGCCAGCAGCCGCGGUAAUACGUAGGGUGCAAGCGUUAAUCGGAAUUACUGGGCGUAAAGCGUGCGCAGGCGGUCUUGUAAGACAGGUGUGAAAUCCCCGGGCUUAACCUGGGAACUGCACUUGUGACUGCAAGGCUGGAGUACGGCAGAGGGGGAUGGAAUUCCGCGUGUAGCAGUGAAAUGCGUAGAUAUGCGGAGGAACACCGAUGGCGAAGGCAAUCCCCUGGGCCUGUACUGACGCUCAUGCACGAAAGCGUGGGGAGCAGACAGGAUUAGAUACCCUGGUAGUCCACGCCCU
rnacentral:rRNA from 1 species